GUAGAUAUAGUUUAACAAAAACAUUAGAUUGUGAAUCUAAAAACAGAAAUCAAUACUUCUUAUCUACC
rnacentral:tRNA from 1 species